GAUGAACGCUGGCGGCGUGCCUAAUACAUGCAAGUCGAGCGAACAGACGAGGAGCUUUCUCCUCUGACGUUAGCGGCGGACGGGUGAGUAACACGUGGAUAACCUACCUAUAAGACUGGGAUAACUUCGGGAAACCGGAGCUAAUACCGGAUAAUAUAUUGAACCGCAUGGUUCAAUAGUGAAAGACGGUUUUGCUGUCACUUAUAGAUGGAUCCGCGCCGCAUUAGCUAGUUGGUAAGGUAACGGCUUACCAAGGCAACGAUGCGUAGCCGACCUGAGAGGGUGAUCGGCCACACUGGAACUGAGACACGGUCCAGACUCCUACGGGAGGCAGCAGUAGGGAAUCUUCGGCAAUGGGCGAAAGCCUGACGGAGCAACGCCGCGUGAGUGAUGAAGGUCUUCGGAUCGUAAAGCUCUGUUAUUAGGGAAGAAGAAAUGUGUAAGUAACUAUGGACGUCUUGACGGUACCUAAUCAGAAAGCCACGGCUAACUACGUG
rnacentral:rRNA from 1 species